CAGUGUUACAGCUCGUUUAGAAUUUGUACAGCAGGUUUUAUGGUUUCUACCAGAAAACCCCC
rnacentral:snRNA from 1 species